rnacentral:tRNA from 1 species
GCCCUCGUAGCUCAGAGGAUAGAGCAUCGGCCUCCGGAGCCGUGUGCGCAGGUUCGAAUCCUGCCGAGGGCG